UCUGGUUUUUUUACAGUGAGUAGGAGAAACCCUAGUUAGUAUUUCUACAGAAAAACCACCAGAAUGAAUCAUCCUCUAGGGGGCAACAAAGUGUGACUCAGGCUCUGAACUGCAGGAACCACGGAGGGAUUGACCCUGAAGUCUGGAACAGUCUGAAACGCAAGAAAACAGUGGGCAAGCUUCCAUUGUAUUAUUGUCUUCAAGAAUAUCUAAUGUUCUAUAGUAAUGAUAAGUGAUGCUGAGGCGGACAGAAGGACGAGGAGCUGGAGCAGUUGAAUGGAAUCCAAGCCUCAAGUCUGGGCAAACCUCGAGGAACAAGCACAUCUGUCUGACUCAGAUGACAGAGGAAAGCCAAAGAAGAAAAAAAACAGAAAGAGAUUUUUAGGGUGGAUGUGGCAACCGUGAGAAUGUUCCUGAACCACAGGCAAGAAGGAACUGCUGCAAUCUAUUCCUCUUGGACUUGGGCUGACACUAGAAUUCAAGAAUUGGGCACUGUAAUCAUGUCGAGGACACAUGACUCGCAAAUGAAGCAAGGCAGAAGUUGCCCUUCAGGUUCUGCUGACUGCUGAGACACAGGAGGAGCUGGGGUUUCCACUGUUGAAUCUUCCAUGACUAAUGGUACCAUAUAUUUGCUGUUAAAGAUGCAGCUUAAGGGUCUCCCAGAUAGCUGAGGAGAUAAAUGCACUGACCAUCAAGCUUGAUGACCUGACCGUGAACCUAACGGUGGAAGGAUGGAACCACACUCUGGAAGUUCCUAUCUGGCCUUCAUACGCAUGCUAUAGCUUGUGUGCGCACAGAAGCAGAAAAAUAAAUUUAAAGAAAAUAAAAAGGUUGCUAUU